GUUCCAGAAGCACAAUAGAUUGCGCAUUGGACUUCUAAUCCAAAAGUCGUGGUAUCAAAUCCCACCUGGGAUG